GUGAGGAAUAUUGCGCAAUGGGCGAAAGCUAGACGCAGCAACGCCGCGUGGGCGAUGAAGGUCUUCGGAUCGUAAAGCCCUUUUACAGAGGAAGAGGAAGGACAGUACUCUGGGAAUAAGUCUCGGCUAACUACGUGCCAGCAGCCGCGGUAAAACGUAGGAGGCUAGCGUUAUCCGGAUUUAUUGGGCGUAAAGCGCGUGCAGGCGGCGCUCUAAGUUGGAUGUGAAAUCUCCUGGCCUAACUGGGAGGGGUCAUUCAAUACUGGAGUGCUUGAGGGCAGGAUAGGGAAGCGGAAUUCCCGGUGUAGCGGUGGAAUGCGCAGAUAUCGGGAGGAACACCAGUGGCGAAAGCGGCUUCCUGGUCUGUACCUGACGCUGAGACGCGAAAGCUAGGGGAGCAAACGGGAUUAGAUACCCGUGUAGUCC
rnacentral:rRNA from 1 species